rnacentral:rRNA from 1 species
UACGUAGGGUGCGAGCGUUAAUCGGAAUUACUGGGCGUCAAGCGUGCGCAGGCGGUUUUGUAAGCCGGAUGUGAAAUCCCCGGGCUUCACCUUGGAACUUCAUUUGUGACUGCAAGACUAGAGUGCGGCAGAGGGGGGUAGAAUUCCACGUGGAGCAGUGAAAUGCGUAGAUAUGUGGAGGAAUACCGAUGGCGAAGGCAGCCCCCUGGGUCGACACUGACGCUCAUGCACGAAAGCGUGGGGAGCAAACAGG